rnacentral:rRNA from 1 species
AUUGAACGCUGGCGGCAUGCCUUACACAUGCAAGUCGAACGGCAGCACGGGUGCUUGCACCUGGUGGCGAGUGGCGAACGGGUGAGUAAUACAUCGGAACGUACCUUAUCGUGGGGGAUAACGCAGCGAAAGCUGUGCUAAUACCGCAUACGCCCUGAGGGGGAAAGCGGGGGAUCGCAAGACCUCGCGCGAUUACAGCGGCCGAUGCCUGAUUAGCUAGUUGGUGGGGUAAAAGCCCACCAAGGCGACGAUCAGUAGCUGGUCUGAGAGGACGAUCAGCCACACUGGGACUGAGACACGGCCCAGACUCCUACGGGAGGCAGCAGUGGGGAAUUUUGGACAAUGGGGGCAACCCUGAUCCAGCAAUGCCGCGUGAGUGAAGAAGGCCUUCGGGUUGUAAAGCUCUUUUGUCAGGGAAGAAACACCGGCUCUAGCACAGUCCGGGAAUGACGGUACCUGAAGAAUAAGCACCGGCUAACUACGUGCCAGCCGCCGCCGUAA